rnacentral:miRNA from 1 species
UAAGGACUCGUAAAGAUAGGU